GUGCACCAGGCGCGAAUCUUUAGCAAUGCCCGAAAGGGUGACUAUGCGACGCCGCGUGAGCGAUGAAGUCCUUCGGGACGUAAAGCUCUGUCAGGUGGGAUGAAUUUUUCGACCUUAACAGGGUUGGAAUUUGACCGUACCACCAGAGGAAGCCACGGCUAACUCCGUGCCAGCAGCCGCGGUAAUACGGAGGUGGCAAGCGUUGUUCGGAUUUAUUGGGUGUAAAGGGGCAUGUAGGUGUCCUAGUAAGUCCUGGCUGAAAUCCUUCGGCUCAACCGAAGAACGUGUCAGGAAACUGCUGGGAUUGAGUACGGAAGAGGAGAACGGGAAUUCCCGGGUGUAAAGGGUGAAAAGUCUGUAGAUAAUC
rnacentral:rRNA from 1 species